AGCCCUUGACAUCCCGGUCGCGGAUCCCUGAGAGGGGAUCUUUCAGUUCGGCUGGACCGGUGACAGGUGCUGCAUGGCUGUCGUCAGCUCGUGUCGUGAGAUGUUGGGUUAAGUCCCGCAACGAGCGCAACCCUCGCCCUUAGUUGCCAUCAUUUAGUUGGGCACUCUAAGGGGACUGCCGGUGAUAAGCCGCGAGGAAGGUGGGGAUGACGUCAAGUCCUCAUGGCCCUUACGGGCUGGGCUACACACGUGCUACAAUGGCGGUGACAGUGGGCAGCUAACCCGCAAGGGCAAGCUAAUCCCAAAAAGCCGUCUCAGUUCGGAUUGCACUCUGCAACUCGAGUGCAUGAAGUUGGAAUCGCUAGUAAUCGUGGAUCAGCAUGCCACGGUGAAUACGUUCCCGGGCC
rnacentral:rRNA from 1 species